UACGAAGGGUGCAAGCGUUACUCGGAAUUACUGGGCGUAAAGCGUGCGUAGGUGGUUUGUUAAGUCUGUUGUGAAAGCCCCGGGCUCAACCUGGGAAUGGCAAUGGAUACUGGCAGGCUAGAGUGCGGUAGAGGGUAGUAGAAUUCCCGGUGUAGCGGUGAAAUGCGUAGAGAUCGGGAGGAACACCAGUGGCGAAGGCGGCUACCUGGACCAGCACUGACACUGAGGCACGAAAGCGUGGGGAGCAAACAGG
rnacentral:rRNA from 1 species